CAUGCCAUGUAGUCAGGAGAGUCCUUCUGGGGUUUGAAGGCCAACAUGAAUUCAGAAAAGAUAAAACCAGGUCAGCACUCGAGGACAAAGACCAGAAACAGCAUAGGCGAACCACGACUACUCAGUGUGGACAGAGCCAAUGCCAAGCCUGGCACCAGCCAAGAUGCAAAGCUGAGUCAACUGGCUUAUCCUCUCUACCUUCUGUGAGUUCAGUUCUAGGCCCUCUUUUCAUGCUGUACUUCCUUCUAGGUCUAUUUCUGUGUCAUGAGGCUAGGAGCCUGAAAAAAUAAUGAAAACUAGUCCCUGUCACCUGCUGAAAUAAUUCCAUUAUCAUAUUAGUCCUACAAGUUCAGGGGGGAACACAG